GGGUCUAUGAUGACUUCCUCAAAUGCAUUCCUUGGAAAGUUGAACAAAAUGAGUGAGAAAGCCAACAGUCGUACUCAUCAGAUCUGAGGUCC